rnacentral:rRNA from 1 species
GACGAAACGCUGGCGGUAUGCCUAACACAUGCAAAGUCGAACGGGGUAGGUUGCUUCGGUAACCAACCUAGUGGCGCACGGGUGAGUAAUGCACAGGAAUCUGCCCCAUGGUGGGGGAUAGCUCGGAGAAAUACUGAAUUAAUCCCGCAUAAUGCCGAAAGGUGAAAGUCGCAAAGACGCCAAGGGAUGAGCCUGUGUCUGAUUAGUUAGUUGGU